rnacentral:rRNA from 1 species
GAUGAACGCUAGCUACAGGCUUAACACAUGCAAGUCGAGGGGUAGCAGGGUAGCAAUACCGCUGACGACCGGCGCACGGGUGAGUAACACGUAUCCAACCUUCCCAUAACUCAGGGAUAGCCUUUCGGAAGAAAGAUUAAUACCUGAUAGUACUUAAGAAAGGCAUCUUUUUUAAGUUAAAGAUUUAUUGGUUAUGGAUGGGGAUGCGGUACAUUAGAGAGUUGGUGAGGUAACGGCUCACCAAGUCUUCGAUGGAUAGGGGUUCUGAGAGGAAGGUCCCCCACAUUGGUACUGAGACACGGACCAAACUCCUACGGGAGGCAGCAGUGAGGAAUAUUGGUCAAUGGGCGAGAGCCUGAACCAGCCAAGUAGCGUGAAGGAUGAAGGUCCUAUGGAUUGUAAACUUCUUUUAUAGUAGAAUAAAGUGAGCCACGUGUGGUUUUUUGUAUGUAUACUAUGAAUAAGGAUCGGCUAACUCCGUGCCAGCCGCCGCGGUAA